rnacentral:ncRNA from 1 species
ACGGGCGUUGCCGAAAACCCUUCAAGAGUAGGCA